UCUAUAUACGGUCGCAUACAUUGCACCUUCCUUCGUGGCUUACUAUAUUUCCAACGUCAUAGGAAUACUCGCGACACUCCUAUACCUUGCAGAAUUAUCUGGUAGGUAUGUACUACACCUCUCUAUAGUAUUGGAAUAGCUCUUAUCCCACCAUUAACUACUUACCGGCAUUUCUCUCAGAACGCACAUGCAGUGCAUCUUUCAGAUGCAACCGAGUAGCAGGUGCAGCUUACCUGACUACGUUAUUGAUAGCUACGUAAGAAUAUAUACGUAUAUAUCAUACAGCUCUAAUAAUACAUUGCUCGUAUUAUUCCUAUAAUCACUUGCACGCUAUUCUGUAUAUAUACCAGUGACAUACGUGGCUAUUGAUAUUCGAAAGUUUACAAUGAUGCAAUAUCGUGAAGACUUUAACCCCUUUGUCACUGUUGGUACGUCUAUAUGACUUGCACGCUUUUCACGCCAGAUAGCGUAAUGUUUGAUCAGCAAAAUCAAUUCAUUCGCCAAACUAUAUGUAUAUAGGAUUGUAGAAUUCUAGAUACGAACAAUUGCAAUUCCUCGAUUUAAAGAUCAAUCCAUAAAAAUACAAUGGACCUUGUCGUACUACAGUUAAUAUCACGAAAUCCAACGGUUCCUCGUGAGAACAAAUCUCUUUUAUUUUCAUUAUGAAAAAUCAAAACCAGACACAAUCUUUUAAGCAAUGACAGAUUAACUUUUCCCACUGUUACUAUAUAUGUAAAAGCUCUAUAAAUCUAGCAUCAACAAUGUAUUCGCAAAUCCACUAGAACACAACUGCAUAUCACGUAUAUAUUAUUCCUAUCAAACACUUAAUCGUUAUUACAGCAACAAUUCCCUGUAAUUCAGUUCCUUUUCCAGCAGCUUAAUCCACUUAAGGCCAUAUAACAUAUUACACUACAUAAACAUCCACAUAUCACUCUGUUGAUUGAGUGCAUUCCAACGUUGCUCUGAGAGCUAUGCAGCCAAGUAUCAUACCUAUUUAUUAAUUGGACCAAAGUACGUCACGAUUCUGAAUAAAAGUUCCUCGGGACUAUCCAUUUCCCGGAAGACAACAGGGUCGACGGAUCUUUUCUAGAAAAUGCACCAGGGGAACAUUCAACUUUUCAUAUAAAUUGCAGCAGCGCCAAUUACAUGAUUGGACUUCAUGGGUAUAUCGGGGAGUGUAUACGUGUAUAAUGCCCGCCACUAAAGUUCACCAGCACUCACAGUAGUGUCUCCUACGCAGAGUUCAGAGGAAUUUGUGGAUCGUAGCGAAAUUACGCAGCAAAGUCAGAGCCGGGAAUCAGGCGGCGGUGUCCGUUUCGAGUGUGCGAGUGGGUAGGACAGAGGUAAGGAGAAGGGAGGGAGAAUUUAAAUCGAAGGAGGGUUGGCGUGUCGGUUGGACGGGUGGGUGGUGGACAGGCAUACCAACCAACUACGUGUAUUUACACGAUCCCGUUCCUAGAACCGUAGAACGCGUACGUGGUAAGGUAAGCAUGAUUCACAGCGUGACCUACCCGUUGCGCCCUGUCACGGGGUUACGCGGGUAAUAAGCGUUUCGCAAUAGUCCGUAAUGCGCUUCUGACUAAGCGCCGGUCAUUUUCGUUCGUUAAAGCCCACAAUCAGUACGGGACAAAGUUUUACGAAGAGACGACAACGACGACGGAUCUUUAUUUUCCGAAAUAUUAAAUUGGCGGAUCAGUCAUUUUUCUAAAAAUUUGCAUUCUCGUGAAUUUUCGGUACUUUAAUAAUUCGAAAAAAAACUACAAAUAGAUAACGACGAUGAUAAUGAGAAGACAAAAUAGAAAAAAAAUUAAGAUGCUCUUAUUAACUUUGUUUUCUAUUUAUCGGACAGAUCUUACAGUAGUCUUUGGUCAUCCGAAAAUUAUAUACGAAAUAUGUACAUAAUGUAUAUCGAUGCGUAACACUCGAAGGCGUACUUGGCACGGGACUCCUAGAGAUACUCUGCAUAGUUGCACUACCGACGUGUGAAUUCCGAGAGAAAUCUGGAAUCGUUUAUCUUAGAGCGAAAACGAUUCUUCGUAGAAUCUAUUUUGCUUGAAAAUACGAUCCAGGCACGAUGGUAUUCGAAAUUAGGUAAUCGGAAAGUUAAAAAAAAAAUUUCCCCAAAAAAGAUAUUCUCGACUUAAAACGCGAGCCGAUCGAUGAAUUCCGAGACAUUUGUAUCUCCCUCUCUCUUUUACGCACGUAAAUCCCCAUAAGUCCGUCUCUCUCGCACUUAUGGAUGGUAUAGGAAAUUAAAAAUCUCACGACCGGUCGACUAUCUCUGUGUGUAUGGAUCUUUAAUGAGUACUUGAAGGAUCGCUAAUGGCACUGAAUAGCCAUGUGUAAUGAAAAUGAGAUACAAAUGAAUUAAUGAAACGUUUUGGCACAUCACGCCAUUAAUGAUUUUUCGUUUAAUUGACUUUUCUCCGAGCUCGUAAUUUCUCUAGCGUCUCACAAGGUGGCUCGUUGAAGGUGCAACGCUUACGUUCCGCAAUGUUGAGAUCGUCUCGUGUAACGCCUACGGACCGUCCCGAAACGGUUUCUCACGGUGAUGACACGGUAUUUCAGCAUGCCGCUACACGUUCGAUAGACUGAUGAGCAAACGCGAAGGGGCUUCUUUAUUUUUAGCGGUCUACCCGUCUACCUCUUUCCCUCUUGUCUCCUUCGUAACGACGACUAUACCUCUAUGUACACCCUCUCUCGUACCAGACUACCAUAUAUAACUAUAUAACCUGUAUACACUUUGAUUCUCGCUACCGUACCAUCCCGUAGUAGCUACUUUCUUAUUUUUUAACUUCCACUUCGUCUACCACUUCUUCACCCUGUUUAUUCAUCCUAUUCCUCGUAUACUCUUUGCCAUGCAUUUUUCCACUGGGGUCACAAUACGGCUUCGCUCCUUGGCCAUUUCCUUCCGUUUUUGUAUACCGUUUCUUUUUUUUUCCGCCACUUUUUACUUGCUCCUAUAAGCAUACAUCAUUAUUAUUAUUUUGUUAACUCAUAUAAGAUUUUUAUAUAUAUUUAGUAUAUUUUAUAAUAUUAGUAAUACUUAGUAAUAUGAACCAAGUGUUUCGAAUUCUCAGACUUUGAGGUUAUAUCGGGUUCAUGUUAUGUUCGUGUUAUGUAAAUUUAUGAAUUGAGUUCUAAGAUAUUUUGUGACUUUGUAACUAUAAGAUAUACCUAUUGUUUCUUAGAAAAAUAUAACGUCUACUCGCAGCCUUGAUUACGACGUCGCGACGCUUCACGCGAUCCUAGUUUGUGUCACCGUACAUUUAUUUCCGUCUUUGUAAAGAAACGUGAUAAUUAUGAGAAGGCUGCACGUACGUCAGAUACAGGUAGGUUGGUACCUCAUUGACCGACAAUUUCGUUAUGUAUGUGCACAGUUGGUAGAUAGGAAGUCUGGGUAAUUCUAAUUGGCAUUUAUUUCACAAGGUGACGACCCUGUUAAAGGGGUAGUGUAGAAUGUACGUUAUUAGUAUAAAUAAAAAAUGUUGAUACGUUACACCGAUAUAUGCCCUAAGGACUAAAUUACUCAAUCACGAAAAAAAAAAAUGUCAAACCGUUCACAAAGUCAUCGUUGCACCUGUCGUCGCGAACGCGAUGAAGAAACAAGAUAAAAGAAAAUAAGGAAGGCCAAGAGAAAGGGGACUGACGGAAGUAAGAUUUCGUGACAUUUUCACGCGAGAAGAAGAUAAAAAUAGGCGCACGGAUUGAGAAGAAGAGAAACAUAGUGGCAGGAGGGUCGGAAGGAGACAGGCGUCCCGACGCUGACGAAUCGAACACAACUCCGUAUAUGAGUCCUAUAGGUGUACACGCCUCUAUGCAUUGGGAGAUCGAUGUAACCCCAUUUCAGGUUGAGUAACUUCAUAGCAGCCAGCCUUUUAUUACAUUCCGCACGUCCCAGAUCAGGCCAGACUGCGCCAUGGCCGUCUUCCUUCCUCCCUCUUUUAAAUCCACUCGCUCCUCUCUCUCUCGCUCCUUCACCCUCGAAGGAGUUAUAUCUCGAUCCGGCAAAACCAAUAAUUACCCACUGCGAACUCGACUGGCCAAUGCGAUAGGUCGACUCCAGCCGCUAACGAGCCGAACCACCGGGAUCGACAUAACCUCUGACUACCAAAGCGCCAUGACUUAAUGAGCAACAAUACCAUACCAAACCCGGGAAGUCAAUUGAGUCCUACGUCAACAGCAUCCCGUCGAUAGCCGUCGAUGAUGAACCGCAGACAAAAUCACUGCUUCUCCCUUGAAACGAGUCAAGAUUGAUCGAUCAAUUCCGAUCGCCGACGGAGGCGCUUCCCAUGGUGUCCUUCGUCGCUUGUAUAAAGAAAGCUGAUGUCUCACAAGGAUUCUAUCCAAACCCUCAUGAAUUCAUGAUGAUGAUCCUACGUACUUAUCCACGGCUUCGAUACUUACACUUCAUCUUUUCUGGAUUCAUCGUGCGUAGGAACACGUAUAAUAUAAAAGUGCUAGUGUCAGCCUUAUGCGUCCAUUUUCAAACGGGAUGGAUGAAGAGUUGGUUACAAAGUCGUCGUGGCGGUCCGAGAACACCGCGCCUCGGUAAAACACGAUCUAGGCGGCUGUUGUUAUUCUUGGCCAUACGUGAACUUAAGAAAGAAAGAAAGAGAGGAAGAGAGAGAGAGAGGAUCAAGCCGUAACAUAUUGAAGCGAAGCCAAGCAGAGAGUGGAGUGGGUGGAUGGGUGGACCCUUGAUGGUGCGAGGAGGACUCAACUUGCUCCACGAAUACAGCAAUUCUGUAGUAAGGAUGCUGGAAUCGAGGUAGUCGCCUGGACCGCACACGUUGAAUGCGAGUACAUAGGUUCGGUAUAUACCUGGCGUAUCGGAGAAGCUUUGCCAGUAAGAUGAGAGAAGCUGACGACAUAAAAUAAAGUUGGUACCUGUUGAAAAAAAAAAAUGGUAAAGUUAUAUAGAAAGCUGACAAUUGUUUUAGUAUUAAUUUCAAAUUCAAUUUGUAGAAGCAAGUUUUAGAAUUGUCAAUACCUUACAAAAUUAUAUAUAUGUAUAUAUACGGAGGAAGAAAGAGGGUUGUGUAGUAUGAUUUAUUUUUUUAUUUAUUUCAUUUUACUUUCCCUUUUGUUGUUUCACGUGGGGUAUCUCAUGUUAUGUAUCGCAGGGCUCGGAUUGCAGGAGCCUAAGGAAGCUGCUGUGGUGGCCAUCUUGCUAUGAGGGUGCAUUGUUGCUCGGAUUUAUUAAAGCAGCCAAGAUCGAGAGCGGUGCCUUGGUUUAAUGUCGAAAUGUGGGAUGCGCGACACGAUCUUUCUUUAUACUGUAUAUGCCUGGAAUACACCUACUCGUUGCUUGUCCACUUCCAUUUAGAUACAUGCUAUCCCAAUAGGGGAUAUCAGUACAGAUUUAAUUUUCACGUACGAGAAACCAGAGAGAAUUUCUUCGCCGGCGAAUGAAAAAGAAUUUUUAAAAAUUAUAAAUAAAAAAAAUAACAAAUUUCAAAGAAUAUACUCAUUAAUAUAUAUUAUCCAAGGGAUGAUCAUUUUUUAGCUAAUUAGAAUUGCCCACUGACGGUAAGUAUCACAAGACAUAAAUAGCAUAUGAUGCGCUGAUUGGUCGAAUCGAUGAUGAAUCCGUUUACCGAGUGGUGAACUAAUCCUGGGUAUAAUAAGGAGGGCUCGCGGCACGUCAAUCAAGGACUGUAAAAUAUCGCUGACAUCCCGCAGUGAUACUGGCCUUAGAUCAUAGUUCCUGGAAGUGAGAAUCUGCCGGUGGACGCGUGAAAAAUGUCGAGGCUCAAAGUUUCGUGAGAAACACGUGGCGAUCCAAGCACAAAUCAUGCUACGAGGAACAAUCUUCGCGCACUGGCUAGAAUGGACAGGCAGCUGCUAAUGGGCCAGGACGAGAGCAAGCAUGUAUAAUGAAUCUUAACACGAUUGAUGAAUUACUGUGAUGCGACAAUGACGAAUCUCUAAAUAAACUGAACGCGCUUCAUUCGUUAUGAGAAAUCACGUCCUUUUCUUCCAUUGAGCUCAUUUGAACUCACUUCCCCACUUUGAAUCCCGGUUACGAAUAACUCCGUCAUGAAAAAUAGAAUCAAAGAAGAACAUGAAGCAACGAAGAACUAAUACCUGUUUUUACAUCAUAAAAUAUAAUAAAUACA